rnacentral:rRNA from 1 species
GAUGAACGCUGGCGGCGUGCCUAAUACAUGCAAGUCGAGCGAACAGACGAGGAGCUUGCUCCUCUGACGUUAGCGACGGACGGGUGAGUAACACGUGGAUAACCUACCUAUAAGACUGGGAUAACUUCGGGAAACCGGAGCUAAUACCGGAUAAUAUAUUGAACCGCAUGGUUCAAUAGUGAAAGACGGUUUUGCUGUCACUUAUAGAUGGAUCCGCGCCGCAUUAGCUAGUUGGUAAGGUAACGGCUUACCAAGGCAACGAUGCGUAGCCGACCUGAGAGGGUGAUCGGCCACACUGGAACUGAGACACGGUCCAGACUCCUACGGGAGGCAGCAGUAGGGUAUCUUCCGCAAUGGGCGAAAGCCUGACGGAGCAACGCCGCGUGAGUGAUGAAGGUCUUCGGAUCGUAAAACUCUGUUAUUAGGGAAGAACAAAUGUGUAAGUAACUAUGCACGUCUUGACGGUACCUAAUCAGAAAGCCACGGCUAACUACGUG